AAACGUAAUAUAUAAAGCCUGAAGUUAUCAAACAAAUUGUUGUCCAAAUAACAAGGCUGAUGGACAAGAGUAGUCAGAAUCACAGUUGCAGCCGGUAUCUACAACUGAAGUUUCUCAUGCUGGUAUUGAUACUCAAGUUGUUCAAUACGUACUACCUCCGCAGCUUGGCCCUGGACAGCUAUGGUGCCAUUUGCUUAUUCAUACCGAAUCAGCAGAACAAAUCGCAUAAGUACGAGAAGUUGUACCAGCACCCUGUGAUCGCAACAAAGCCGGCAGCAGCUGCGAAAUGAUUAUGUAUCAGUUCAAGUAAUAUCCCUGAUACAAAAAUAACCAAGUGUCAAGACAUGUUCAAUAAAAUUUUAUUCCAAACACAAGAUAUGAGCAGUUAGACAUUUGGAUUAUUAACCAAAAUCAAAGAUGGAAUACCAAGCAUACAUCAAAAACACGGUUAAAACAGUAAAGGAGUAUUGGAGUACUUAAAAAUAUGUCAAAUAAGUACAUGAAAAUCGUUUGUUAAUACUAAUAGGGACCACCACAAAUUGACACAUACAAAUACCUCACUACAGACAAAAAUACAAGAUUGGACUUGCUUUCAACGAGGCAAAGAUUUACCAUUAGUCCCCACCAAAUCUAUGGGAAAUUCGACUCUAACAGAAUGAUCCUUGCCAGCUCAUGGUGUGAGAACCACCCAGGUCGCUCUAUAUAUGAGACGUCUCAUUGUUAAUUAAGGAGGAGGAGAUUACGGUUACGCUGAAAAAAAAUUGUGAGAGCUUCACCCAAAGCUUCCUUAAGAUUCUCACGUUGAAACUUUGCUUUGAAACGGAGCCAAGACCUCACCGGGAUACCUACGAGAACAAAGAAGAGAGCGUUAGAAAAGGAACAGAGAAAGAAGAAGAAGGAGAAAGUCGAAGGAAGAAGUUUAUCUGAGUCGUGAUGGAGAAGCUCGCGUCGCCAGCGACGUGACUCAAACCAAGUAGCCUUCUUCCCCCUCUUUUACUCGAAAUCUCUAUGCCAUUGCGUUCGCCUCUUCAAAUCGAAUAAAAACCCCUUAUUAAUUAAUGUAAAUCAUAACGUUGGGGGGUUUAAUUUGGAAAUUAGGGUUUGGGGUUUGAACCUUUCUUGUUACUGUUUUUUGUGCCGAGUUGUUUGGAAUCAAGAAUCGUUGGUGGUGGUAAAAGUUAGACGGAGAGUUGAAUCCUCGUCUUAUUGAGGACAUCGAUCCGGUCGGAGGAGGACUGCUUCACUUAAUCCGAAGUCGGAUUCGUGGUCACCGGAAAAAUCUAGAUAGGUUUAGUGUUUGGAGUUUGAGAUUUUGAGUAGUGGUUCGUCGGAGAAGAAGGUGGCGCAGCCGCCGUUGGCCGGCAACCACCGUCUUCUCCGGUAGGUGGCGACCAGGAGUGAUGGUGGGAUAUGCAGAGCAUGUGUUUGCUCUGAGAUGAAGAGAGAGAAGAGUUUGACGAAA